rnacentral:tRNA from 2 species
GCCCGGCUAACUCAGUCGGUAGAGCAUGAGACUCCUAAUCUCAGGGUCGUGGGUCCGAGCCCCAUGUUGGGUG